GACGAACCGUGCGAACGUUGUUCGGAAUCACUGGGCUUAAAGGGCGCGUAGGCGGGCGAUCAAGUCGGGGGUGAAAUCUUUCGGCUCAACCGGAAAAUAGCCUUCGAUACUGGUCGUCUGGAGGGAGGUAGGGGCGUGUGGAACUUCCGGUGGAGCGGUGAAAUGCGUAGAUAUCGGGAGGAACACCGGUGGCGAAGGCGGUUCUCUGGGCCUUACCUGACGGCUGAGGAGCGAAAGCGUGGGGAGCGAACAGG
rnacentral:rRNA from 1 species